rnacentral:piRNA from 1 species
UAAGUCUUGGAGUUGUAAAACCUCUGCU